rnacentral:rRNA from 1 species
AGAACGAACGCUGGCGGCAGGCCUCAAACAUGCAAGUCUAGGGGGUGUAGCAAUACAUCACCGGCGGACGGGUGCGUAACACGUGGGAAUAUACCUUUUGGUUCGGAACAACGCAGGGAAACUUGCGCUAAUACCGAAUGUGUCCUUACGGAGAAAGAUUUAUCGCCAAAGGAUUAGCCCGCGUCCGAUUAGCUAGUUGGUGAGGUAAUGGCUCACCAAGGCUCCGAUCGGUAGCUGUUCUGAGAGGAAGAUCAGCCACACUGGGACUGAGACACGGCCCAGACUCCUACGGGAGGCAGCAGUUGGGAAUCUUGGACAAUGGGGAAACCCUGAUCCAGCCAUGCCGCGUGAGUGAUGAAGGCCUUCGGGUUGUAAAACUCUUUCGACGGGACGAUAAUGACGGUACCCGUAGAAGAAGCUCCGGCUAACUUCGUGCCAGCAGCCGC